CUGGCUUCCCAUCGAAACAGGAUGAGGGACGGAAGGGCUCCCUUCCAUUCCUCCUCCCGCUUCGCUGGGAAGCCAG